rnacentral:tRNA from 1 species
GCGCCCGUAGCUCAGUUGGAUUAGAGUACUUGGCUACGAACCAAGGGGUCGUGGGUUCAAAUCCUGCCGGGCGCGCCAUAG